AGUCAGAGGCGAUGAAGGGCGUGCUAAUCUGCGAUAAGCGCCGGUAAGGUGAUAUGAACCGUUAUAACCGGCGAUACCCGAAUGGGGAAACCCAGUGUGACUCGUCACACUAUCAUUAACUGAAUCCAUAGGUUAAUGAGGCGAACCGGGGGAACUGAAACAUCUAAGUACCCCGAGGAAAAGAAAUCAACCGAGAUUCCC
rnacentral:rRNA from 1 species